UUGUCUUUAAUUGCCAUCAUUCAGUUGGCACUUUAAAGAGACUGCCGGUGUUAAACCGGAGGAAGGUGGGGAUGACGUCAAGUCCUCAUGGCCUUUAUGCCCAGGGCUACACACGUGCUACAAUGGGUGGUACAAAGAGAUGCAAUCUCGCAAGAGCAAGCAAACCUCAAAAAGCCAUCCUCAGUUCGGAUUGUAGGCUGCAACUCGCCUACAUGAAGUCGGAAUCGCUAGUAAUCGCGGAUCAGCACGCCCGCGGUCGAAUACGUUCCCGGGCCUU
rnacentral:rRNA from 1 species